AUCGAAGGAAAUUGAGGAAAUCGAAUAAAUUUGAAGUUGAAGAAAGUAAGAGAAAGUCGAAACGAAGCAAACGCGAUUCCUUAAGCCACGAUGUUUAGGGAUUUUAUAAUCUUUCCGGUGACGUCUUCGACGUGGAAUACCCAGAAGCUGAGAAAUUGAUUCUGUACGAUGAAAAAGACGAUGUCUCCACAGAAUACAACGAUACAAUAGUGGAAAAAUUAUCGAUCGACGUAAAUCCUGUUGAGAAAUGCUCAGUUGGAGUCGACCACGCCUUAAUUGCUAAGACGCAUUGGGAGAGUUUAGACGUUUGGUGUGUGAUUUGGUGUUUUGUAUAAGAGAGAAAAUAAAAGGUGUGAUAACCAAUCCGAGUGGAUCCGAGAUUGAUUAUCAACCCCAACCUAUAUAAAAUAACAAAUCCCGAGGAAAUUGGAUACUUCUCUGGUCCUAAAUGGCAAAGGAACAGAUUAUCAAAGAAAAGACCAGCUGCUAAGGAUUCGCCGCCACGAUGGCUAGAACUUGGAAUAGCUGCCGAUUACUCCGUGGUAGAUUUUCAUGGAAUUCGAGUACAGCAAUAUAUCUUGGCUCUUUUAAACAUCGUCCGCCGUGGCGAUGCCAGACGAUCUCUCGAGAACGUGAACAAAUGGAACAGAAAGAUGCUGUCCUCGAAGGACAUAAAUCACGAUGUUGCUGUAUGGUUGACGCGGUUCGAUAUAGGAGGUCCUUCCAGUUACGCACCUGUGUCAGGAGUAUGCGAUCCCGCGAGAUCGUGCGCGUUAAAUCCAGACGAAGGCUUGACCAGCGCCUUUAUCAUCGCUCACGAAGUAGCACACAUGUAAGUGUCCCACAUGUUGGGAUAUCGUUGGCAAACUGAAAUAUUUAUAACUGGCCUGGGUAUUUACGCAGAGACCGUGUGCUAUUUAUUUAUGCAAAUACGUACUUUUACGAGAAUAAUUUGAAAAAUGAAAUCUCCAUAGGAGAACUUAUUAUCUUUACCGAAUAUCACAACGAGUACUGUACUUUGAAUCUGCCAUAGAUUUUUGCGUAUUA